AUUGAACGCUGGCGGCACGCCUAACACAUGCAAGUCGAGCGGUAACAGGAUUUGUAGCAAUACAAAUUGCUGACGAGCGGCGGACGGGUGAGGAACACGUAGGAACCUGCCUAGAAGAGGGGGAUAACCAAAGGAAACUUUGGCUAAUACCGCGUAAUCUCGAGAGAGCAAAGCUGCCGCAAGGUGGCGCUUCUAGAGGGGCCUGCGUCCGAUUAGCUAGUUGGUGGGGUAAAAGCCCACCAAGGCGAUGAUCGGUAACUGGUCUGAGAGGACGACCAGUCACACUGGGACUGAGACACGGCCCAGACUCCUACGGGAGGCAGCAGUGGGGAAUCUUGGACAAUGGGGGCAACCCUGAUCCAGCGAUGCCGCGUGAGUGAAGAAGGCCUUCGGGUCGUAAAGCUCUUUAGGCUGGGAAGAAGGGUAUAUGAGGAAAUGCAUAUACUUUGACGGUACCAGCAGAAUAAGCACCGGCAAACUCUGUGCCAGCAGCCGCGGUAA
rnacentral:rRNA from 1 species